UACGUAGGGGGCAAGCGUUGUCCGGAUUUAUUGGGCGUAAAGAGCGUGUAGGCGGCCCGGUAAGUCCGCUGUGAAAGUCGGGGGCUCAACCCUCGAAUGCCGGUGGAUACUGUCGGGCUAGAGUGCGGAAGAGGCGAGUGGAAUUCCUGGUGUAGCGGUGAAAUGCGCAGAUAUCAGGAGGAACACCUAUUGCGAAGGCAGCUCGCUGGGACGUAACUGACGCUGAGGUGCGAAAGCGUGGGGAGCAAACAGG
rnacentral:rRNA from 1 species